rnacentral:rRNA from 1 species
GACGAACGCUGGCGGCGGGCUUAACACAUGCAAGUCGAACGGAAAGGCCCUGCUUUUGUGGGGUGCUCGAGUGGCGAACGGGUGAGUAACACGUGAGUAACCUGCCCUCGACUGUGGGAUAACUUCAGGAAAGUGGGGCUAAUACCGGAUAGGAGCUCCUGCUGCAUGGUGGGGGUGGGAAAGUUUCGGCGGUUGGGGAUGGACUCGCGGCUUAUCAGCUUGUUGGUGGGGUAGUGGCUUACCAAGGCUUUGACGGGUAGCCGGCCUGAGAGGGUGACCGGCCACAUUGGGACUGAGAUACGGCCCAGACUCCUACGGGAGGCAGCAGUGGGGAAUAUUGCACAAUGGGCGGAAGCCUGAUGCAGCCACGCCGCGUGCGGGAUGACGGCCUUCGGGUUGUAAACCGCUUUCGCCUGUGCCGAAGCGUGAGUGACGGUAAUGGGUAAAGAAGCACCGGCUAACUACGUG